rnacentral:lncRNA from 1 species
GCCGCAUAACAUCAUCUCUACGCCCUUCUAUCCAUUGAUUUGGAUUUGAACGCCUAAGAUCAAAUGAGAUUUGAUCUUUUAGGGUGCUAAGAAAAGGUUAUAUGUGAGAUAAGAAAGUGUGUGCGACAAAAAUUAAAAGGAGGGUGUGAGUUUUGGCAUGAAGAAGUUGAAGGCUUCUUUAGGACAAAAAUAAUCUCAACGCCUCCUAAUCCUUUCUUUCUUUCCCUUUGUCCCAAUGCCCAGAUCUAAUAGAGAUAAGAUCUAAGAGAGAAAAAGAGAGAGAAGAAGAGAAGAAGAAAAGUACUU